rnacentral:rRNA from 1 species
GACGAACGCUGGCGGCGUGCUUAACACAUGCAAGUCGAACGGAAAGGCCCUGCUUUUGUGGGGUGCUCGAGUGGCGAACGGGUGAGUAACACGUGAGUAACCUGCCCUUGACUUUGGGAUAACUUCAGGAAACUGGGGCUAAUACCGGAUAGGAGCUCCUGCUGCAUGGUGGGGGUUGGAAAGUUUCGGCGGUUGGGGAUGGACUCGCGGCUUAUCAGCUUGUUGGUGGGGUAGUGGCUUACCAAGGCUUUGACGGGUAGCCGGCCUGAGAGGGUGACCGGCCACAUUGGGACUGAGAUACGGCCCAGACUCCUACGGGAGGCAGCAGUGGGGAAUAUUGCACAAUGGGCGGAAGCCUGAUGCAGCAACGCCGCGUGCGGGAUGACGGCCUUCGGGUUGUAAACCGCUUUCGCCUGUGACGAAGCGUGAGUGACGGUGAUGGGUAAAGAAGCACCGGCUGACUACGUG